rnacentral:rRNA from 1 species
UGGGGAAUAUUGCACAAUGGGCGCAAGCCUGAUGCAGCGACGCCGCGUGAGGGACGACGGCCUUCGGGUUGUAAACCUCUUUCAGUAGGGAAGAAGCGAAAGUGACGGUACCUGCAGAAGAAGCGCCGGCUAACUACGUGCCAGCAGCCGCGGUAAUACGUAGGGCGCAAGCGUUGUCCGGAAUUAUUGGGCGUAAAGAACUCGUAGGCGGUCUGUCGCGUCUGCUGUGAAAGCCCGAGGCUCAACCUCGGGUCUGCAGUGGGUACGGGCAGACUAGAGUGCAGUAGGGGAGACUGGAAUUCCUGGUGUAGCGGUGAAAUGCGCAGAUAUCAGGAGGAACACCGAUGGCGAAGGCAGGUCUCUGGGCUGUAACUGACGCUGAGGAGCGAAAGCAUGGGGAGCAAACAGGAUUAGAUACCCUGGUAGUCCAUGCCGUAAACGUUGGGCACUAGGUGUGGGGCUCAUUCCACGAGUUCCGUGCCGCAGCUAACGCAUUAAGUGCCCCGCCGGGGGAGUACGGCCGCAAGGCUAAAACUCAAAGGAAUUGACGGGGGCCCGCACAAGCGGCGGAGCAUGCGGAUUAAUUCGAUGC